rnacentral:lncRNA from 1 species
AGAAAGAGAUCUUGUUGAAACUCUGCUUAGAAAAGGAAUUAAGAAAAAUCUAAAAAGCUUGGACAACUAAGGCUUAAGUGGCCAACUACUAAUGUUUAAUCGGUCCCACAAGUUUUGUUGUCUAUUUGAGUUUAACAUGAUUUAAAGAGAGAAUCCCCAAUGAUCAAGAUAUCUUCAUUAACUUGGAAGCGCUGCUAUCAUCACUGACAUUUUGAAGCUCAAGAAUAUUGAAGAACAUCUGUGUUGUGCGGAUUCAAGAUUAAAGACUAUGUCAACAUUCAGCUUGGGGGAAAGCAAUCCCGUUAUCUUCGCGAUUCAGGCUUGAAGUAAAAGAGUGAAGAAUAGCAACAAGAAUGGAGAUAAAAUGGGAGACACUUGAAGUUUAACAAUUUGCACAAGAAAGACAUAGCUCGUCCAUCAUAGAGAGAUAAUCCAUGGAGCGAGACGAAGAGUGCCACGAACAAGAUGCACAACCAUUGAGAAAGAAAAGCUUCCACAAGGUGAUAUUGUACCAUAACUCUUCAAUUAAGGUAACAUCUUAAGGUAUGUGACUGUCACUGUUAUAAAGCUUCUCCUUGAUUCUGGCAUGCACAUGGAUAAAAAGACAAACAUGUAUGAUUUAUAACUCCAAAUUAACCAACCCAAUUGAUUCAACAUGUUUAGUCCUUUAAUCUUUGUUCCCGGUACUACCUUCUUGAUCCCACACUCUUAACCAUAUGAGCUAAAAUGUUGCACAUCCGAUCUUUGGAAAAUGAUAGUCAUGUAAAGAAUAAAAAAACAUUUACUUAGAUAGAUAAUCUUUCCAUAAGGUUGAGUGAUCUGAUCUGACAAAUGUUUUAAAUGCUACACUCAUGAUCUUAUCAUCCAUCAACUUUGUCUUGCUCACUGUGGUUAAGGUUAGAGAAGAACAAAUACACUUUUGGUUCUGUUAAAGUUUUCCACCGAUAGGGCCCAUGCACUUGAUCUCUGCCUUGUCUCUAUGAGCAGGAUACACUUCGAGCAAAACAUGGAGAAAUUUUUCAACUCCCAGACUCUACCAAGUGAAGGACCUGGAUCUAUGAGCACAAACACACUGUGGAGCAUGCUGCCAACGUCGCACUUCGAACUGUUGGGCAAACGAAAAACAUGGGUGACACCGUAUCAAGAGGUGCAGAUGUCAAGGUCCACACCUAACUCAAAUGACGCACCUAAAGAAUGAACACGGUGAGAAGUCUUAUUGAGAAGACUUAAAAUAUUGAACCCUCGCCGAAAGGUAAAAUCGGUAGUUAUCCAUAUUUAUCCUUUCUGCAUUCCAUUUUUUCUUAAAGUAUUUACUUUCCUUAAAUAGCUUGUUAGUUAAUCAUGCUAUCUUGAAAACAAAAUAAAAAUGUUAAAAACAGUAAGCCCCAUGUGAGUAUGCUCGUGGCAUAAAACCCAUUCACUGUGGUGGUGUAAAAAUAAAAUAAAUAUAUUCUUGUCCAGUAAAAAUGAAAAUAUAAAAAUAAAUUUAUGAUCCUACUAAAGAGAGUAAUAUUUAUUAGAGGAAGCUCAACAUGAUAAAGGCUAAGAGAUUUUAUGCUAACACUUAACCAGUUCCACAAAAUUUUGUUGUCUAUUUGAGCUCCACAGAAUUCAAGGAUCAAGGAAGACUAGCAGGCGGAGGAUAUCCUAAUCGUUAUCAGGGUGCUGCCAACAUUCAAAUACACCUACACCACCUGC